GACGAACGCUGGCGGCGUGCUUAACACAUGCAAGUCGAACGGAAAGGCCCUGCUUUUGUGGGGUGCUCGAGUGGCGAACGGGUGAGUAACACGUGAGUAACCUGCCCUUGACUUUUGGAUAACUUCAGGAAACUGGGGCUAAUACCGGAUAGGAGCUCCUGCUGCAUGGUGGGGGUUGGAAAGUUUCGGCGGUUGGGGCUGGACUCGCGGCUUAUCAGCUUGUUGGUGGGGUAGUGGCUUACCAAGGCUUUGACGGGUAGCCGGCCUGAGAGGGUGACCGGCCACAUUGGGACAGAGAUGCGGCCCAGACUCCUACGGGAGGCAGCAGUGGGGAAUAUUGCACAAUGGGCGGAAGCCUAAUGCAGCAACGCCGCGUGCGGGAUAACGGCCUUCGGGUUGUAAACCGCUUUCGCCUGUGACGAAGCGUGAGUGACGGUAAUGGGUAAAGAAGCACCGGCUAACUACGUG
rnacentral:rRNA from 1 species